GCUGGGCAUAGGGGCAUGUGCCUGUAGUCCCAGCUACUACUGAGAAGGCUGAGGCAGGAGGAUAACUGGAGCCCAGGAGUGCAGGGCUGUAGUGAGCUAUGAUCAUAAGCACUGCACUCCAGCCUGGGCAACAGAGCAAGACCCUGUCUCUU
ensembl:misc_RNA Metazoa_SRP Metazoan signal recognition particle RNA